GACGAACGCUGGCGGCGUGCCUAAUACAUGCAAGUAGAACGCACAGUUUAUACCGUAGCUUGCUACACCAUAGACUGUGAGUUGCGAACGGGUGAGUAACGCGUAGGUAACCUGCCUGGUAGCGGGGGAUAACUAUUGGAAACGAUAGCUAAUACCGCAUAAUAUUGAUUAUUGCAUGAUAAUUGAUUGAAAGAUGCUAUUGCAUCACUACCAGAUGGACCUGCGUUGUAUUAGCUAGUAGGUGAGGUAACGGCUCACCUAGGCGACGAUACAUAGCCGACCUGAGAGGGUGAUCGGCCACACUGGGACUGAGACACGGCCCAGACUCCUACGGGAGGCAGCAGUAGGGAAUCUUCGGCAAUGGAUGAAAGUCUGACCGAGCAACGCCGCGUGAGUGAAGAAGGUUUUCGGAUCGUAAAGCUCUGUUGUAAGAGAAGAACGGGUGUGAGAGUGGAAAGUUCACACUGUGACGGUAUCUGACCAGAAAGGGACGGCUAACUACGUG
rnacentral:rRNA from 1 species